rnacentral:rRNA from 1 species
UAUUGGUCAAUGGGCGUAAGCCUGAACCAGCCAAGUCGCGUGAGGGAGGACGGCCCUACGGGNUGUAAACCUCUUUUGCCGGGGGNNCANNNGNGGCACGCGUGCCGUCCUGAGGGUCCCCGGAUAAAAANNNUNGNCUAACUCCGUUCCAGCAGCCGCGGUAAUACGGAGGAUGCGAGCGUUAUCCGGAUUUAUUGGGUUUAAAGGGUGCGUAGGCGGGAUGCCAAGUCAGCGGUCAAAUACGGGGGCUCAACCUGCGUCCGCCGUUGAAACUGGCGUUCUUGAGUGGGCGAGAAGUACGCGGAAUGCGUGGUGUAGCGGUGAAAUGCAUAGAUAUCACGCAGAACCCCGAUUGCGAAGGCAGCGUACCGGCGCCCUACUGACGCUGAAGCACGAAAGCGUGGGUAUCGAACAGG